CACGUGAGCGCGCGGCGGCGCGAGGCGAGGGCGUAGCUCCAUAGUUAGCGCCCCACCACCGAGAUCAGAGAUAGCGGUACCCUGAGUCGGCCUUACUUAGGGAUGUAAGAAAAUGAAAAGAAUCAAGUUGUAAUAGUAUUGUUAAAGCUAGAUUGUAUUUGGAAGCUAAAAAUAAUGAAAGAUGUAAUAUGUAAAUAUAUGUGAGUUGAAGGAUUGUAAUAACUUAGUUGUAUUUAUGUUUAUGAUACUUCCUUAUGCAAUCUUUAAUU
rnacentral:lncRNA from 1 species